GUCUGAAUUUGGAUUGUGAUCAAAUUUUUGACUUAAUAUAGGUUUUUUGUCACAAUAUUAAUGUGGUCAAAGAUCUAACAACUCUAUUGCACAAUACUGUAAAUUGAGGAUUUCUUCUUGAAACUUUUCAAAAUUUGAAAAAAGGAAGCCCUUCAAAAAAUGGUCAACAAAAAAUAUCCCCCUUUUUGACUCCCCCCUCUUGAAGCAAUAACCCUUAAACUCAAUCCCAUGAUUUCCAUUGCAGUAUUUUACCUUGUAGUACAAUUUCAGAGAGAUCCAUACACUUAAACACAAGUUAUUGUCAUGAUUGUUUGGAAACUAGAAACAUGCUUCUUUUUAGCCCUUUUUUGGCUCUUAAUUCCUACAUAUAUUGGGCAAUUAACCCAAAACUUAACCCCAGCUCCCCUUUUUUAUAUGGUACAUUGUGGUACAAUUUCAGAGAGAUCCAUACAAUUACACAUAAGUUAUUGUCUUGGAACUAGAAAAAUGCUUGUUUUGACCCCU
rnacentral:lncRNA from 1 species